rnacentral:rRNA from 1 species
AUUGAACGCUGGCGGCAGGCCUAAAACAUGCAAGUCGAGCGAGCGGCGGACGGGUGCGUAAUGUAUGGGGACUGCCCGAUAGAGGGGGAUAACAACUGGAAACGGUGGCUAAUACCGCAUACGGUCGGAUAAGCCAUAUGGGAUUAGCUAGUAGGUAAGGUAAUGGCUUACCUAGGCGACGAUCCCUAGCUGUUCUGAGAGGAGGAUCAGCCACACUGGGACUGAGACACGUCCCAGACUCCUACGGAGGCAGCAGUGGGGAAUAUUGCACAAUGGGCGCAAGCCUGAUGCAGCAAUGCCGCGUGGAUGAAGAAGGCCCUAGGGUUGUAAAGUACUUUCAUUCGGGAGGCGUUACCGACAGAAGAAGCACCGGCUAACUCCGUGCCAGCAGCCGCGGUAAUAC